CCUACGGGCGGCAGCAGUAGGGAAUCUUCGGCAAUGGACGGAAGUCUGACCGAGCAACGCCGCGUGAGUGAAGAAGGUUUUCGGAUCGUAAAGCUCUGUUGUAAGAGAAGAACGAGUGUGAGAGUGGAAAGUUCACACUGUGACGGUAUCUUACCAGAAAGGGACGGCUAACUACGUGCCAGCAGCCGCGGUAAUACGUAGGUCCCGAGCGUUGUCCGGAUUUAUUGGGCGUAAAGCGAGCGCAGGCGGUUAGAUAAGUCUGAAGUUAAAGGCUGUGGCUUAACCAUAGUACGCUUUGGAAACUGUUUAACUUGAGUGCAAGAGGGGAGAGUGGAAUUCCAUGUGUAGCGGUGAAAUGCGUAGAUAUAUGGAGGAACACCGGUGGCGAAAGCGGCUCUCUGGCUUGUAACUGACGCUGAGGCUCGAAAGCGUGGGGAGCAAACAGGAUUAAUACCCGUGUAGUC
rnacentral:rRNA from 1 species